AAACCAUGAUGUGGGAGGAGUCUCAUCAUAUCCUUAUAUCUCUACCAGGCCUCAAAAAGGGAUUCACCACCGGCUUGUCUAAAACAAGUUAUGUGGUUUCUUAAUAU